GCGGGUGUAGUUCAAUGGUAGAACUUCAGCUUCCCAAGCUGAUGAUGGGAGUUCGAUUCUCCUCACCCGCU
rnacentral:tRNA from 3 species